GACGAACGCUGGCGGCGUGCCUAAUACAUGCAAGUCGAACGCUUCUUUCCUCCCGAGUGCUUGCACUCAAUUGGAAAGAGGAGUGGCGGACGGGUGAGUAACACGUGGGUAACCUACCCAUCAGAGGGGGAUAACACUUGGAAACAGGUGCUAAUACCGCAUAACAGUUUAUGCCGCAUGGCAUAAGAGUGAAAGGCGCUUUCGGGUGUCGUUGAUGGAUGGACCCGCGGUGCAUUAGCUAGUUGGUGAGGUAACGGCUCACCAAGGCCACGAUGCAUAGCCGACCUGAGAGGGUGAUCGGCCACACUGGGACUGAGACACGGCCCAGACUCCUACGGGAGGCAGCAGUAGGGAAUCUUCGGCAAUGGACGAAAGUCUGACCGAGCAACGCCGCGUGAGUGAAGAAGGUUUUCGGAUCGUAAAACUCUGUUGUUAGAGAAGAACAAGGACGUUAGUAACUGAACGUCCCCCGACGGUAUCUAACCAGAAAGCCACGGCUAACUACGUG
rnacentral:rRNA from 1 species